CAGAACCCAAAUAGGAAGUUAGGUCUCCAAAGGGACAGUUGUGUAGACAGAUCCGGACCCUGAAGCUGGGUGAAGCCCAAAGUUUACACAGACUCUGGUGAAGGAAAGUGGGCUUUGGAUCUGAGCUACAAGAGCUGCUCAGCUCUUUCUGGCAGAGAGGCACACACCUUCCAGGACAGCAACGGAAGCAGAGAGCGCAUCUGAGUCAUCCAGCAUGCUAGCUGUUCUACACUCUCCCGGGAACUCCCAGGAGUGAGGGUGGACCCAGCCAGACCGGAAGAGUUGGAGAUCCGAGUGUCGUCCUGGUUCCAAGAGUUAGCUGACGCCAGAUGAAUUCUCCCCAAGCGCAUACCGCAGACUUUCACAUGACUAUUGGGAAUGCAACCCCAGAUUAAAGGACAGGAUGGUGCCGUGACGCUGGAGUACCAGGUCUCCACACAGCAGCAGUGAUGACUAACCAGGGACGCCUUCUGGAAUUCUCCAAAGCUCCUGCCCCAUCACUCUGAGAAUGUGCUCUGGAUGCUGCGGGUGUCCAUAUCUCUGUAUUCCAGCCAGGGUGUACUGGGUAAGUUCUGCUCGUGGAGGAAGGAGCAGCUCUCCAGGGGAAGAUGAAGACGGGAAUUUUGAACUCAAGGUGCUCACACACACCCGUUUGGGAACAACCAGUAAGUAGGCAGUUAGCUGCGUAGGCCUGUAGUUCAGGAGAGGGGCUGAUGCCACAAAUUACCGAAGUGACAACUCACCUUCGAGGGUCUGGAAGGUGAAGACGCAGGAGGGACAGUGUCACAUGGCCGGUCAAGGAAGGACUGCUGAACUUAAAAGACAUGGAGUAGACAGGAUGGUAUUCGGAGAUGAGAAACGCUUGGGUAGGUGGGAAGGAAAUAGACGCACAGACAUGGGAGAGAAGAGAAAGUGACAUUCCUGCUAUGCAGGCGCUCGCAGUUGACUGAAUCAAUUACAGUAAGAGGGGAAUUUAUCUCAAGUUCCAAGGAAGGUAUAAUCCAAACAGAACAGAACAUCUAUCUGGGAGUUCCUUUCCGGUUUAUCGUGUUUGCAUAAUUCUCCUAAGGCCUGAACUCCUUUCCCAUAAAACAGGUAACUGAGAGGUUAGUUUAUUAUAUAUAAUAGUGUAAUUACAUAUAAUGUGUAAGGACAUCAUUAGCAGGGCUGUUUUCUUAGAUGAAUGCAGUUAUAUCAAUAGAAGGCUUUGAAGCCACUAGAGCAUAGGGAACUCUUUUUCUUUCUCAAUACCUUUCCAUCAUCUCUAAAAUUAAUAGCUUUCAGCAUGUGUAAGCUUCAUUUGAGACUGAAAAAUAAAACUACAUCCUAAAUUUCUCAACCUGUGUGCAACGAGUUUCAAAUGAUCUCCAUCUCAGAACCACCCACAUCAGGGUAUUUGCGUGAUUUUUCUCACGGUGAGAUAGAUAGCCACAUGCUAGCUGGGGAAUAUGAAGUUAACUAUCACAUAUUAUAUGUGCAAAAUUUACAUUAUUUUCUGAAUUUUGGUUUUGUUUUGAAGCCUGCAGCUUUUAGAAUUCAUCCUUUUCUUUGUUAAAUUAGGGAAAUGCUACACAUUUGAAAGUCUUUUGUUGAUACAGAUAAAAUAUUUAAUAGUAUUAUUAUUUGCCCAGGCCUAGUCAUUAAUUUAGUAGGUCAACCUAAGGGAGUUUGUACAGUGUCCAAGUCAAAAUCAUCUAAUGACCUUGGGAGGAAAAUUCUGAGAAGUGCUCAGGUCCCAGAAAGGGACACAUGGGUU